GACGAACGCUGGCGGCGUGCUUAACACAUGCAAGUCGAACGGAGUGGCGAACGGGUGAGUAACACGUGGGUGAUCUGCCUUGCACUUCGGGAUAAGCUUGGGAAACUGGGUCUAAUACCGGAUAGUGCAAGAUGAGCUCGCGGCCUAUCAGCUGGUUGGUGGGGUAAUGGCCUACCAAGGCAUCGACGGGUAGCCGGCCUGAGAGGGUGUACGGCCAAAAUGGGACUGAGAUACGGACCGGACGCCGACGGGGGGGAGCAGUGGGGAAUAUGGCACAAUGGGCGGAAGCCUGAUGCAGCGGCGCUGCGGGGGGGAGGAUGGUCUUCGGGUUGUAAACUCCUAUCGACAGGGACGCGGUACCUGUAGAAGAAGCACCGGCUAACUACGUGCCAGCAGCCGCGGUAAUUC
rnacentral:rRNA from 1 species